AUUAUGUAAUCACGCAUCACACAGAUGAUGUAAGACCCUUUGUUUAACUACUGAACUGUGCAAGUGUGGUCAUGCAGCUGGAGGAGCAGCAGAAUUCUAACAUUCAAGACUUUUUGCUUAUUAUAAAAAAGGUCCAAAUUGGAGUCUGGCCACCUGCAACUGCCCUGAUGUGAUUUGGGAGCCAGAAGCCUCAAUCUUCCACUUGGCAACCAUUGGCUAUUUCUUGAUAUCCUGAAGAUUGAAAUAUUCAGCCGGGCGGUGGUGGCGCACGCCUUUAAUCCCAGCACUCGGGAGGCAGAGCCAGGCGGAUCUCUGUGAGUUCGAGGCCAGCCUGGGCUACCAAGUGAGUUCCAGCUACAGAAACCCUAAGACCUCUCUGCCAUAAUAUGCGACAAAAGCUGAGAGUCUGUCUCAGAGGAAUAGGGCCAAGCUGCAAAGAAGACUCUGAGGCCAGACCGGCUGCCUGGAAGCAGAAGCCAGCUGAACUCUCUGGAAGAGGUUUAGGACAACUGAGGCACCUGGAAAAGGACUCUCCAGCCUGGUGAGCUGCCUGCAGGCUGUGCAGUGUGCUCCAGGUUCCCAGCUUUGUGAGCCGCCACCGUGCUGGGGUGGGCUUUGGUGACGCAGCUGUCCCUGAGUCAUUUCUGCUCCUAUAGGUAACCCCUCACCCAUAUCCCUGUAAGUGACCCCAAUAAAACUCAGGGUUUGCCAAGCUGGA